ACCAUGUAGUAAAGCAAUGUCUUAUGGGUAAUCUAACCCCAAAUUGGUUUACAAUAGCCUUUAUCAAAGUCUCUUGAUAGAUUUCAAAAGCUAUCUUAAGUAAUAAAGGAAAACAGAGAAAAUUGAAUUCCCAAAAUCAUAAGCUGACAAACUGUAUAAUAAUAUAAUAACUAAAUAAAGUACAAGAGCUUUUCAUGUCUAUGAAUUAUAUAAUAACUAAUAUAAUAAUUAAGAGAUUUUCAUAUCUGCGAAUUGUAUAAAAUAAAUAAAAUUUGAUAAACCUAUCCAUCCAAUUGAUAAUUGGAUACCAAUUCCAACAUUUAUAGAUGUUAAAUUAGCUUACAAAUCAGAUGGACUAGUUGAUAAGGACCAGAACCCUUGU
rnacentral:lncRNA from 1 species